rnacentral:rRNA from 1 species
UACGUAGGGGGCAAGCGUUAUCCGGAUUUACUGGGUGUAAAGGGGGCGCAGACGGCGAUGCAAGCCAGGAGUGAAAGCCCGGGGCCCAACCCCGGGACUGCUCUUGGAACUGCGUGGCUGGAGUGCAGGAGGGGCAGGCGGAAUUCCUGGUGUAGCGGUGAAAUGCGUAGAUAUCAGGAGGAACACCGGUGGCAAAGGCGGCCUGCUGGACUGCAACUGACGUUGAGGCCCGAAAGCGUGGGGAGCAAACAGG